CAGAAAAUAGUUUAAUGAAAAUGUUAGUUUUGGGAAUUGACGAUGGAAGAUAUCUUUCUUUUCUGA
rnacentral:tRNA from 1 species